rnacentral:RNase_P_RNA from 2 species
GCAGCAAGCCAGACGGCCGCCGUUCGACUCGGCCCUUCGGGCCUCGCUCACGGCAAGCUGCCUCGAGCGAGGCGCGAGACGGGCAAGGUUCCCGUCGAGGGAGCUUGUCCCGAGCGAGGCGCGAAGCGCCGAGUCGAGGGGAGGAAAGUCCGAACUCCGCAGGGCAGUGCGCCGGGUAACGCCCGGUCAGGGCAACCUGAAGGAAAGUGGCACAGAAAACAUACCGCCUGCGUCGAACCGGUCGACCCUGCGGAGUCGCGCGGCCCUCAAAUGUCGGGGGCCGCGCCACUCCUUCCAAGUGCACCGGGUAGGUCACGAAGUGGCCCUGUGUAGUCCACGGAGUGAGCCCGGGCCGGGUCGACCGGUUCGACGUAGGUAAGGGUGAAAAGGUGCGGUAAGAGCGCACCGCGCCCGUGGCAACACGGGUGGCAGGCCAAACCCCGCACGGAGCAAGACCAAAUAGGGAGGCGCCAAGGACGGCCCGUCCGAGGCCUCCGGGUCGGUCGCUCGAUCUCGCCAGCAAUGGCGAGGCUAGAGGAAUGGCCGUCACCCUGAGCGAGGCCGCGCAAGCGGCCGAGUCGAAGGGAACAGAAUUCGGCUUACGGCCUGCUGCGAUG